rnacentral:rRNA from 1 species
AACGAACGCUGGCGGCAUGCCUAACACAUGCAAGUCGAACGAGAUCUUCGGGUCUAGUGGCGCACGGGUGCGUAACGCGUGGGAAUCUGCCCUUUGGUUCGGAAUAACAGUUGGAAACGACUGCUAAUACCGGAUGAUGACGAAAGUCCAAAGAUUUAUCGCCAGAGGAUGAGCCCGCGUAGGAUUAGCUAGUUGGUGUGGUAAAGGCGCACCAAGGCGACGAUCCUUAGCUGGUCUGAGAGGAUGAUCAGCCACACUGGGACUGAGACACGGCCCAGACUCCUACGGGAGGCAGCAGUGGGGAAUAUUGGACAAUGGGCAAAAGCCUGAUCCAGCAAUGCCGCGUGAGUGAUGAAGGCCUUAGGGUUGUAAAGCUCUUUUACCCGGGAUGAUAAUGACAGUACCGGGAGGAUAAGCUCCGGCUAACUCCGUGCCAGCAGCCGCCGUAA